GGAAAGCUGAAAAAGCCAAGGUUCCUGCCUGCGCACUGUGUUUUGUUUCAUGAAAACGAAAUCAGGCUCGGCUCGGGUGGCGCAUGUCAUCCAAGCGAUUCAGGAGGCUAAAUCAGGAGGAUCUCAAGUUUGAGGCCAGCCUCGCAACUUAACAAGGCCCUCCCUGAAAAAGAAAGAAAAGGGCUGGGAUGUAGCUCCGUGGGUAGAGAGCCCCUGGGUUCAGUCCCCAGUAUCACACAUAAAAACAAAACAACAAAAAACCGAAAUCAGGAUUCGGGAGAUGCUGGUUUAAAGGGGUCUUUUUUAUGCUUGGACUAAAUGCAUUCUGCUGUCACAGAUACCUAAUUAGAAUGCAUCCUUCCUGGACUCUGAUGCUUGAUGGAGCCAGCCCUAGUCCGUCUCCCUGCUUCGUCAGGAAGUCUGUUUGGAACAAUUUAUUGGAGAAGAAACUUUAGAAACGACUCAAAUCAUUAGUGAGGUGCAUGACCUCAUUCUCAAGUGCAAAAUACACCAACUAAAUAAGGAAAAGUCUCUGAUAAGUGGAUGCUGAUUCGUAAUGUGGGGUGGGGCAUGGGAAGAAUGGAGAAACAUUGGGCAAAGGGGAGGAAGGGUGGGAGGCAGGAAAGAUGGUGGGAUGAAACGGACAUCAGUACCUUAAAUACAUGAAUGACUGCACUUAUGGCGCGAUUCUACAUCAUAUACAACCAGAGAAAUGAAAAGCUGUGCUCCAUUUGUGUACAAUGAAUCGAAAUGCAUUCUGCUGUCAUAGAUACCUAAUUAGAACAAAUAAACAUCAUUUUUUAAAA
rnacentral:lncRNA from 1 species